rnacentral:rRNA from 1 species
GACGAACGCUGGCGGCGUGCCUAAUACAUGCAAGUAGAACGCUGAAGGAGGAGCUUGCUUCUCUGGAUGAGUUGCGAACGGGUGAGUAACGCGUAGGUAACCUGCCUGGUAGCGGGGGAUAACUAUUGGAAACGAUAGCUAAUACCGCAUAAUAGUAGAUGUUGCAUGACAUUUGCUUAAAAGGUGCAAUUGCAUCACUACCAGAUGGACCUGCGUUGUAUUAGCUAGUUGGUGGGGUAACGGCUCACCAAGGCGACGAUACAUAGCCGACCUGAGAGGGUGAUCGGCCACACUGGGACUGAGACACGGCCCAGACUCCUACGGGAGGCAGCAGGAGGGAAUCUUCGGCAAUGGACGGAAGUCUGACCGAGCAACGCCGCGUGAGUGAAGAAGGGUUUCGGAUCGUAAAGCUCGGUUGUAAGAGAAGAACGAGUGUGAGAGUGGAAAGUUCACACUGUGACGGUAUCUUACCAGAAAGGGACGGCUAACUACGUG